ACUCAAAUGAAUUGACGGGGGCCCGCACAAGCGGCGGAGCAUGCGGAUUAAUUCGAUGCAACGCGAAGAACCUUACCUGGGCUUGACAUGUUUCUGACAGGGCUAGAGAUAGCCUCUCUCUUCGGAGCAGAUUCACAGGUGGUGCAUGGUUGUCGUCAGCUCGUGUUGUGAAAUGUUGGGUUAAGUCCCGCAACGAGCGCAACCCUCGUCUAGUGUUGCCAGCGGUUCGGCCGGGAACUCACUAGAGACCGCCGGGGUUAACCCGGAGGAAGGCGGGGAUGACGUCAAAUCAUCAUGCCCCUUACGUCCAGGGCUUCACGCAUGCUACAAUGGCCGGUACAGAAAGAUGCAAUAUCGUGAGAUGGAGCGGAUCUUUUAAAACCGGUCUCAGUUCGGAUCGGAGCCUGCAACUCGGCUCCGUGAAGGUGGAGUCGCUAGUAAUCGCAGAUCAGCAACGCUGCGGUGAAUGCGUUCCCGGGCCUUGUACACACCGCCCGU
rnacentral:rRNA from 1 species